rnacentral:tRNA from 1 species
AAGGCAGUAGCUCAGUGGUAAAGCUCCGGCUUCUUAUGCGGGGAGACCUGGGUUCGAUUCCCUGCUGCUUCA